rnacentral:rRNA from 1 species
UACGUAGGGAGCAAGCGUUGUCCGGAAUCAUUGGGCGUAAAGCGCGCGUAGGUGGCCUCAUAAGUCCGUUGUGAAAGUCAAAGGCUCAACCUUUGAAAGCCGAUGGAUACUGUGAGGCUAGAGUACGGAAGAGGAGAAUGGAAUUCCCGGUGUAGCGGUGAAAUGCGCAGAUAUCGGGAAGAACACCCGUGGCGAAGGCGGUUCUCUGGGACGGUACUGACGCUGAGACGCGAAAGCGUGGGGAGCGAACAGG